UAUGUUUUAGUAUAGGAUGUACAUAAAUUUUUGAAAUUUUUGGGGAUAAUUUAAUUUAUCAGACGUAA
rnacentral:tRNA from 1 species